ACGGAAGGCAGCAGUGGGGAAUAUUGGGCAAUGGGGGAAACCCUGACCUAGCAACGCCGCGUGAAGGAGGAAGGCUCUCGGGUUGUAGACUUCUUUUAUCAGGGACGAAGGAAGUGACGGUACCUGAUGAAUAAGCCACGGCUAACUACGUGCCAGCAGCCGCGGUAAUACGUAGGUGGCAAGCGUUAUCCGGAUUUACUGGGUGUAAAGGGCGCGUAGGCGGGGAUGCAAGUCAGAUGUGAAAUCUAUGGGCUUAACCCAUAAACUGCAUUUGAAACUGUAUCUCUUGAGUGUCGGAGAGGUAGAUGGAAUUCCUAGUGUAGCGGUGAAAUGCGUAGAUAUUAGGAGGAACACCAGUGGCGAAGGCGAUCUACUGGACGAUAACUGACGCUGAGGCGCGAAAGCGUGGGGAGCAAACAGGAUUAGAUACCCUGGUA
rnacentral:rRNA from 1 species